AGCAGCCGCGGUAAUUCCAGCUCCGAUAGCGUAUAUUAAAGUUGUUGCAGUUAAAAAGCUCGUAGUUGAAUUUCGGGAUUGGCGCAUCGGUCGUGCCUUACGGGGUAUGAACUGGUGCAGUCAAUUUCUCACCUUCUGGAGAACCGCGAUGUCCUUAAUUGGGUGCCGCGGGGAACCAGGACCUUUACUUUGAAAAAAUUAGAGUGUUUAAAGCAGGCAUUUUUGCUUGAAUACAUUAGCAUGGAAUAAUAAAAUAGGACGGCAUGGUUCUAUUUUGUUGGUUUCUAGGACCACCGUAAUGAUUAAUAGGGAUAGUUGGGGGCAUUAGUAUUCAAUUGUCAGAGGUGAAAUUCUUGGAUUUAUUGAAGACUAACUACUGCGAAAGCAUUUGCCAAGGAUGUUUUCAUUAAUCAAGAACGAAAGUUAGGGAUCGAAGACGAUCAGAUACCGUCGUAGUCUUAACCAUAAACUAUGACCGACUAGGAAUCAGACGAUGUUAAUUUUUAAUGUACUCGUUUGC
rnacentral:rRNA from 1 species